rnacentral:rRNA from 1 species
GACGUAGGACACAAGCGUUAUCCGGAGUUACUGGGCGUAAAGGGCGUGUAGGCGGACGUGUAAGUCUAUUCUGAAAGCUCCUGGCUAAACUGGGAGAGGCGAAUGGAGACUGCAUAUCUAGAGUGAGGAAGAGGAAAGUGGAAUUCCACGUGUAGCAGUGAAAUGCGUAGAGAUGUGGAGGAACACCGAUGGCGAAGGCAGCCCCCUGGGUCAAGAUUGACGCUCAUGCACGAAAGCGUGGGGGAGCAAAACAGG